AGCAAUCCGUAGAGGUUGAUUCUAACGUCAGCUGCUGCUUAGAUUCAAACCCCCGCACCGAUAACUCCUGGAUUCAUCUGCGUGUUGUCAAACAUGUACAGCAUUAGUUUGAGAAUUCGCAGGGUGGCAGUUUCACUGAGGAUCCAGAAUGAUCCAGACGGCUGCUGUCUAUUUACGCACGACAACAUGAAGUACUGUUUAAAUGUACAAAAAUCUGAAGACAGACAAUGUGUAAGACUCAGUUGAAGAUUUUGACAAGCAGACAGCAUAAUAGCACCUUGGCUGACUGACAUUUACAUUACAUCAUCAUGGGGGAUGGGGAGGAAUAAAACUUUAUGCCAGCAAACGUUUUAAUAUGGAAUGGUUGGAAACACAAUCUGUGAGACAGCAAAGAAUGAAGGAGCAUCUAGAAAAAUAUAUUAUUAUCCUGCUGACUUGGUGAGAGUAAAAGAAUGAGCACUUGAGGAAAUGAGUUCCAAAGCUGGAAGAUGUAAAGAAUUGAAGGGAAAGUUGAGAUUGGCUGGGAAGUAAAUGAAGAGAGCUUUACCACUUGGCACCUCUGUAAACAACAAGAAAACAUUUCAAUCAAACGCCAUGGUAGGAACAAACAGCUCGCAACAAAAACAAAAGGAAACAUUCCAACUUGGCAAACAUAAAACAAACAAAAUAGUUUUGUUUCUUCAAAAACACGAAUGUGGCAAAACACAAGAAAAUGCAAAAAGGAAUCUUAGUAACAAGAAUACAAAGUUGAACUUUGUUCUAUUUUCUCUGUGGUGUGAAACAAUUAUGAAAAUGAACCUGUAUACGCCAACAGAAUUAGGACACUACUCUUGGACAUUCACUAGGCUACUUUGCAGCAUUUAUGUAUUUCACCAUAAGAUGUGUUUGGCCUAUCAGUGUUCAUGAUAAUUGAGAGUUUUAAUAAAUCUUGCCUUCAAAGAGCUAAUUGGGCUUCCCCAUCUUCCUUCCUCCCAUUUGUUCAUCACUUCAACACAACAUAAAGAUGAAUAAUUGUUGUGUUUUAAAUGUUCCCUAUGUGCUCUCAAAUUAAAUGAGUACUAUUAUUUUCCUCCAUAAACUUUCAGGAAAAAUAACUAAUGAAUUAAAAACAGACGAUUCUGGAAACACACAGCAGCUUGAUCAGCAUCUGGUGGGAUGUUUCUCACUAAAACUGCUUGGCUGAAAUGAAGGAUCCCAACUGAACAUUAACGUACCUUGCCUCUUUUAGCUGAUUGAGCUGCUGUGCUUCCCCAACAUUUUCUUAAAUAAAGUGCCUUAAGAUGCACUUGUUACCCGAUUACUCCAAAUUUAGGCUUAACAAAAGUUUCUGUAACAUGGAAUGUAAUCAAUCAUAUUUUUAAUGGAAGAGAGUGGACAGAAAAUGUAUUUUACAUUAGGCUGGCAUAUAACAUUGGACACAUAAUGACAGUGAAAGGCUUAUUAGACUUGCUAAUUAGUAUUGGUUGAUACAUAGUUCUUCAUGUGAGUAGUUCAUUAUGUCUUACUGGUGUCUGAUGUGUGCAAUAUUGAAGGUUAAUAUCACAUUUAAAUGAAAUUAAGAUCAGUUACCAGUACAAAUGCCAAACAAUGCUAUCCUAGAAAGUUAUAAAGUUCUUCAAUUGGAUAUCUUUGAGAUUAUCUUUUAAUAAUAAAGGUUGCGUUCACUUGUGCAUUGUGAACCUUUCAUUACUGGCAGUGUUAAGUGCAUUCAUAUUCUGUCAGUUCAAUGAACAGUUUAAGAACUGUACAGUACAGACCCUAUUAUGACCCUGUUUGCAGAGAAUUGGAUCUAACAUGAACAUGAGACGCUAAUUUGACCUCAUCUACUGCCUCUGAAGACCUGAUGCCUUGGGAGCAGGAGUUCGUCCUUAGCUGAGAAGACAAUACUGAAUGGACUGGCCAGAUCUAGUCAUGUGUUUGCUUUGGUAUAGUUUAGCACACUUUAGGUAGUUUUUAAACUAGUAACAUACAGCUAGCCUGAUUAUUUCAAUCAGUUUUACAUAAUCAGUUACUGCGCAGGCAAUAUAUCCAAUUUGAAGGAGCUAUUGGAAUGAUUGUCUUCAAUUUAGUACCUAAUUCAUAUCCGCAGCUGUGAAUGGAUAUGUAAUCUUAGUUCUAGAGAAUUUACAGUGUAUAUUACUGCUAAUUGGGAUUAGCAUUGAAUCAAUAAUGUUUGCUUAAUGCAAAUAAGUGGAUUAAAGAACAGUUUGCUUAA